rnacentral:rRNA from 1 species
GACGAACGCUGGCGGCGGGCUUAACACAUGCAAGUCGAACGGAAAGGCCCUGCUUUUGUGGUGUUCUCGAGUGGCGAUCGGGUGAGUAACACGUGUGUAACCUGCCCUAGACUUUGGGAUAACUUCAGGAAACUGGGGCUACUACCGGAUAGGAUCUCCUGCUGCAUGGUGGGGAUUGGAACGUUGCGGCGGUUGGGGAUGGACUCGCGGCUUAUCAGCUAGUUGGUGGGGUAGUUGCUUACCAAGGCUUUCACGGGUAGGCGGCCUGUGAGGGUGAACGGGAUCAUUAGGACUGAGAGACGGAGCAGACUGCUACGGUGGGCAAUAGGAGGGAACAUUGAACAAUGGGCGGAAGCGUGAUGCAGCAACGCCGCGUGCGGGAUGACGGCCUGAGGGUUGUGAACAGCUUUAGGAUGUGACGAAGCGUGAGUGACGGUAAUGAGUGAAGAAGCACCGGCUAACUACGUG